GAAAGGCUUACUAACACUCACUAUUAUAUUGAAAAAACUCGUUACUGGGCAGUCAUUUAAGAUCAGCUGUUAAACUACCAAUCAUGAGAUGUGCAAUCAUACAUACUAUAUAUAAGCAUCGCUUAGCAUAUCUACACCAAACUUUGUUAAGUGAUUGCAUGAGAAUGCAGUGAAUGGUCCGUUAUACGAGUAGAGUAGAAGAACAUUGGAAGAAUUGAUAAAAUAAAAGUAUCAUAGGAACGGGAUUCGUAGUCCAAGCGAUAAUCGUAUAAAAGGGGAUAAAAAAAUUUUAGCAUGGAUCACCAAAAUAAAUGGAAGAUUUGGGACGUAAACUUUCAAAAUAUGUAUCAGUAAAUUAAACGACUCUGUCGUCCUCUUCAUGCGUUCAUAGUCUCUCGCAAAAGUCCAUGUAGAUAGAUUAUCGGAGUCAACAUGCGAUGAUGAAAAGUUGAAUUAGGCAAAAGAGAGGCUAAAAAGAGAGAAAGAAAGAGAUGCAAUCAAUCUAAAUUGCGCUAAAAUGAGCAUAAAAAGGAAUUAAUAAAGAACUUCCAAUGAAGACAAAAAUGGAAGGAAAAUGUCCAAUGAAGAUUUUCAAGUAAAUGUUUCAUAAAGACGGAGAUUCGGAGGGUGAUGGGAUAUUCAUGUUUUCAUCAGGUUGAGCAAAAGAAGCUGACCACCAUCUCAGCGAUGAAGGAUCAGGCAUUAUAACAUCAUCAUAAGGUACAUAGUUAGGAUUCUUGAAUUCAUCCUUCCGAGAAAGGAAAUAGUCCCAGAUACAACGAGUAUGAGUGCUGACGGAUGCUUGAGCUCGUUCCCGUUCAGAGUUGUAUAGGAACGAACCGUAUUGGCAAGAGUAAAGAUGGUAAAGUAGACGGCGUAAAAAUCUCUCGUUAAACUCGAAACAAUUAGGAAAUUGAUCCAUAAUUUGCCAGACGCAAUCUAAAAACUGAUGAAAGACCGGAGACAUCAUUUUUUCGGAAUGGUCAAUUGAGAAGCCACUUAAAGCAGAGCGUACUGUUGAAAAAGUGUAUUGUAAAGUCGAACUUGGUGAAGAUUGGGGUGGUUCUUCUGAGUAUGAGCUGUCGAUUGUAAAAAUACGUUUACCAGGUAAAUGACAACAUCUUUCUGCAAACCUAUGCCCGAAGGAAAGCCAAUCCUUUUCGACGAGAGCAAAAAAUCCCUCAAUUGUUCUAUAGUAAGGAUCCAAACACAAUUGAGGUAGAGCACAUAACUGGGAAGUUCUGUCCCAUCCAUCUGAGCAAUGUACAAGUACAUGGGCAUGCCUAAAAUGAACUGUUUUAACAAUAAGAACCGCUCCUUGUAAAAUGUUAGCCAAGUGCUUAAGCCAACUUGAUCUGUUUAAGAGUUCUAUCAAUGGAGGUGCCGCACUAAUAUCUGUAUUUUUAAGAGCAUUCACAAUUUUAUUUAAAGAAUCCCUCAUGACGUGUAUGUUAUCAAUUCCAAGAUAUAUCUUCUUUGCAAAACGGUAGUGAUCCAUGUUUUCGCUUCCAGCGCCUACGGCAAUGUUAGCCAUCGCAUUAGUAGAAGGCCUCGCAUCAACUAUAAGAUUUUCUUUUCCAGGAAUGAUU
rnacentral:lncRNA from 1 species